UAAUGGGAUAGCUUCCCGUUAUAGUGAGUGGCUGAAUAAAUCCUACCCAACGGAUUAAGGCACACAAACCUGCUCCAACGGUCAAGUGACUGAGGAGGUGGUGAGUGGUAAGCGAUUACAAAUUAACUACUUAGGUAGUUGGGAGUCGCUUUGGGGGUCAACCAAGAAUCCCCCCUCGCACCCU
rnacentral:ncRNA from 1 species